UGACAGUCGAAUGCACUUUGAUACAUCAUAUAUAAUGGAGUAUAAUAUCUCAUUCUUCUGGUUGUACAUGAUGUAGAAUCACACUGGUCGUACAAUUAUGUAUGUACAUAGGGUAAUAAUGUCUGAUUCAUUCUACUAUCCUUCCUACCCCAUACCUCCUCCCGUCACUCCCCUCUACCUAAUCUAAAGUAACUCUAUUCUUCCCUAACCUUGCCCCCAUUGUGAAUUAGCAUCCUUAUAUAAGAGAAAACAUUCAGCUUUUGGUUUUUUGGGAUUGGCUUACUUCACUUAGCAUGAUAUUCUCCAACUUCAUGCAUUUACUGGCCAAUGCCAUAAUUUCAUUCUUCUUUAAGGCUGAGUAAUAGUCUAUCAUUCAUAUAUGUGUGUGUAUAUUAUAUAUAUUAUAUAUGUAAUAUAUAUAAUAUAUACUAUAUCUAUAUAUCUAUAUAAUUUUUUAUCCAUUCAUCUGUUGAAGGGCACCUAGGUUGGUUCCAUACUUUGGCUAUUAUGAAUUGAGAGCUGCUAUAAACAUUGAUGUGGCUACAUCACUGUAGUAUGCUGAUUAUAAGUCCUUUGGGUAUAAACUGAGGAGUGAGAUAGCUGGGUCAAACGGUGGUUCCAUUCCAAGUUCUCUAAGGAAUCUCCAUACAAAUUUUCAUAAUGAUUGCUCCAAUUUGCAUUCCCACCAGCAAAGUAUGAGUGUACCUUUUCCCCCACAUCAUCGCCAAAAUUCAUUGUUGUUUAUAUUCUUGAUAAUUGCCAUUCUGAUUGAUUGUAUUUCUUCUUCUGUGAAGUAUCUGUUCAGUUCCUUAGCCUAUUUAUUGACUGGAUUAUUUAUUGUUUUUGGUGUUAAGUUUUUUUGAAUUCUUUAUAUAUCCUGGAGAUUAAUGCUCUAUCUGAGGUGUGUGUGGUAAAGAUUUUCUCCUUUUCUUUAUGCUCUCCCUUUCAUAUUAUUGUUUCUUUUGUGGAGAAGUUUUUUAGUUUAAAAUCUGUCCAAUUUAUUGAUCCUUGAUUUUACUUCUUGCACUUUAGGAAUCUCAUUAAGGAAGUCAGAUUCUACACUCACAUGGUGAUGAUCUGGGCCUACUUUUUCUUCUGUUAGGCCCAGGAUCUCUGGUCUAGUGCCUAAGUCUUUGGUCCACUUUGAGUUGAGUUUCAUGCAGGGUUAGGGGUUUAAUUUCAUUUUAUUACAUGUAUUUCCAAUUUUCCCAGUACCAUUUAUUAAAUAGUCUAUCUUUUUCUCCAGUGAAUGUUUUUGGAAUCUUUUUGUAGUAUGAGAUAACUGUAUUUAUGCAGGUUUGUCUCUGUGUCUUCUAUUUUGUACCAUUGGUCUAUGUGUCUGUAUUAGUGCCAAUAUCAUGCUGAUUUUGAUACUAUGGCUUUUUAGUACAGUUUAAGGUCUGGUAUUGUGAUACCUCCUUCUUUAUUCUUAUUGCUAAAGAUUGCUUUGGCUAUUCUGGGUUUUUAGUUUUUCCAAAUGAAUUUUAUGAUUGCUUUUUCUAGUUCUAUGAAGAAUGUUAUUGGGAUUUUAAUUAGAAUUUCAUUAAAUCUGUAUAAUGCUUUUGGUAGUAUGGCCAUUUUGACAAUAUUAAUUCUGCCUAUCCAGGAGCAUGGGAGAUCUUUCCAUCUUCUAAGGUCUACUUCAAUUUCUUUCUUUAGUGUUUUGUAAUUUUCAUUGUAGAGGUCUUUUAUCUCUUUUGUUAGAUUGAGUCCCAGGUAUUUUAUUUUUUGAAGCUAUUGCAAAUGGGGUAGUUUUUCUAAUUUCUCUUUCAGUAGAUUCAUCACUGAUGUAUAGAAACACGUUUAUGGGUGUUGAUUUUAUAACCUGCUUCUUUGCUGAACUCAUUUAGGAGUUUUGAAAGUUUUCCUGGUGGAAUAUUUUGGCUCUUUGAAAUAUAGAAUCAUGUCAUCAGAAAAUAGUGAUAGUUUAAGUUCUUCUUUUCCUAUUUGUAUCCCUUAAAUUUCUUUCUCCUGUCUAAUUCCCCUGGCUAGAGUUUCAAGGACAAUGUUGAGUAGUAGCAGUAAAAGAGGGCAUCCUUGUCUUGUUCCAGUUUUUAGAAAGAAUUCUUUCAAUUUUUCUCCUUUUAGAAUGAUGUUGGUCUUGGGUUUGGCAUAUAUAGUUUUUAUGAAGUUGAGGUAUGUCCCUACUAUCCCUAGUUUUUUCAGUGUUUUGUACAUGAGGAGGUGCUAUAUUUUGUCAAAUGUUUUUUUUUUUUCUGAAUCUACUGAGAAGAUCAUAUAUUCUUGUUUUUACGUCUAUUGAUGUGAUUUAUUAAUUUAUUGAUUUCCAUAUGUUGAACCAACCUUUUAUCCCUGGGAUGAACCACACUUGAUUGUGGUGCACUAUCUUUUAAAUAUGGUUUUGUAUGAAGUUUGCCAGAAUUUUAUAGAGAAUUUUUGCAUUUAUGUUCAUCAGGGAUAUUUUUCUUAAGUUUUCUUUCUUUGAUGUGUCUUUGUCUGGUUUUGGUAUCAGGGUGAGAUUAGCCUCAUAGAAUGAGUUUGGAAGGACUCCCUCCUUUUCUAUUUCAUGGAAUACUUUGAGGAGUAUUGGUGUUAAUCAUUCUUUGAAGGUCUUAUAGAACUUGGCUGAUAAUCCAUCUGGUCCUGGGCUUUUCUUUAUUGGUAGGCUUUUGAUGGUGUUUUCUAUUUCAUUACUUGUAAUUGAUCUGUUUAAAUCGUGUGUAUCUUCCUGAUUCAGUUUGGGUAGGUCAUCUCUGAAAUCUGUCGAUGUCUUCAAGGUUUUCUAUUUUAUUGGAGUAUAAAUUUUCAAAAUAGUUUCUAAUUAUCUUCUGUAUUUCAGUCAUGUCCAUUGUGAUAUUUCCUUUUUCAACACAUUUUUAAGUAAUUUGAGUUUUCUCUCUUUUUCUCUUUGUUAGCAUGGCUAGGGAUUUAUUUUUCCAAAUAACCAAUUUUGUAUUAUCAAUUUUUUUUCAGUUGUUUCUUUUGUUUCAAUUUCAUUGAUUUUAAUUAUUUCCUGUCUUCUACUGUUUUUUGGUGUUGAUUUAUAUUUCUUUUUCUAGGGCUUUGAGUUGUAAUGUUAGGUCAUUUAUUUGUUGACUUUUUAUUCUUUUAAUGAAUGAGCUCAAUGCAAUGAACUUUCCUCUUAGCCCUGCCUUCAAGGUGUCCCAAAGAUUUUGAUAUGUUGUACACUAUUCUCAUUUACCUCUAAGUAUUUUUAAAUUUCAUCUCUGAUUUCUUCAUUUUCCAUUCAUCAUUCAAUAGUGUAUUAUUUAGUCUCCAGGUGUUAGAGAGUAGCUUUUAUUUUUUAUUCUAUCAUUGAUUUCUAAUUUUAUUUCAUUAUGAUCUGAUAGGAUGCAGUGUAUUAUCUCUAUUUUUUUUUUUGUAUUUGCAAAGAGUUGCUUUAGGACAUAAGAUAUGGUCUAUUUUAGAGAAGGAUCCAUGUGCUGCUGAGAACAAAAUAUAUUUGCUCAUUGAUGGAUGAAAUAUUCUAUAUAUGUUAAGUAUAAAUUAUUGAUUAUAUUAUUUAGAUCUAGAGUUUCUUUGUUUAGCUUUUGUUUGGAAGAUCUAUCCAGUGAAAGAGGUGUGUUAAAGUCACCCAGUAUUAUUGUGCUGUGAUCUAUUUAAUUCUUGAAGUUGGGAAGGGUUUGUUUGAUGUACGUAGAUGCUUCAUUGUUUGGGGCAUAAAUAUUUAUGAUUGUUAUGUCUUAUUGAUGUAUAAUUCCCUAAAGAAGUAUGAAAUGUCCUUCUUUGUCCCUUCUGAUUAACUUGGGCUUGAAGUCUACUUUAUCUGAUAUGAGGAUAGAAACCCCUGCUUGUUUACAUGAUCCACACAAUCUAUAUGUUUUUUCCCAUUCUUUCACCCUCAGUCUAUGGAUGUCUUUGUUUAUGAGGUGAGUCUCUUGGAGACAGCAUAUUGUUGGGUCUUAUUUUUUGAUCAAACUUGCCAAUCUGUGUCUUUUGAUUGAUCAGUUUACGCCAUUAAUAUUCAAGGUUAUUAUUGAGAUAUUAUUUGUGCCCCAGUUGUUUUAUUUUUGUUUUUUUAAUUUGACUUAAUUUAUCCUUUGAUUUGACUAUUUUGACUAUUCCUUUGGCAUUGUUCCUCUCUUCGUUGGUUUUCACUUUUUUUUCCCUCACUUCUUCCUCAUGCUUUCUGGUUGUGAGUUCUUUUAACUUCUGUUUAUCAUGGAAGGCUUUUAUUUCAUCUUCAAAUCCGAAACAAUUUUGCUGGACAUAAAAUUCUUGGUUGGCAUCCGUUUUCUUUCAGAGCUUGAAAUAUAUUAUUCCAGGACCUUCUAGCUUUGAGGUUCUAGGUUGAGAAAUCAGUUGAGAUCCGAAUUGGUUUCCCUCUAUAUGUAAUUCAUUUUUUUUCUUAUGGCCUUUAAGAUUUUAUCUUUAUUCUCUGUUAGUCAUUCUCAUUAUAAUGUGUCUUGGUGUGGGUCUGCUGCAAUUUUGUACAUUUGGGGUUCUACAGGCCUCUUGUAUUUGAUUUCCCAUUUUAUUCUUUAGAUUUGGGAAAUUUUCUGAUAUUACCAUUAAAGAUAUCAUGCAUUUAUUUGUUUUUUAUCUCUGCUCCUUCAUCACCUCGAUAACUCUUAAAAUUUGGUCUUUUCAUGUUAUCCCAUAAUUCUUGAAUGUUCUGUUCAUGUUUUUUUACCAUCUUCUCUGCAUGGUCAACUCUGUUUUCAAGAUUAUAUAUUUUUUCUUCAUUGCCUGAAGUUCUGUCUUCCAAGUGGUCUAGUCUGUUGGUAAUGCUUUCUAUUGAAUUUAUAAUUUGGUUUAUUGAUUCCUUCAUUUCAAGGAUUUCUGCUUGUUUUUUUUUUGUCACAAUCUUUAACUCUUUAUUGAACUGAUCUUUCACUUCCUGGGUUUUUUCUUUGAUUUCACUCCUUAUAUUAUCCUUUACUUUGCAGAUUAGUUUAACCAUGUACAUUCUAAACUCCUUCUCUGACAUUUCUUCUACUGUGUUGUCAGUGGAUUCUGUCUUUGGAGCAUCUUGGUUUGUUUGGGGCACUUUAUUCCCCUGUUUUUUUUUUCUUCAUUUUAUUCAUGUGUUUUCCCAUCUAGCAGUAUGGAUCUAAGGCAGCACAAAUUCUACCCUGAAGACCUAUAGUGUCCCUGAAGUUUCUAGCACCUUGCCUUCAAGGGGGGAGACCAACAUUAAUAGCAUCCAAUGUAAACCACACACAGCCCCAAACCCACGAGAUCCUAUCAAGACUUCCACAGUUUUCUCUCAACAAACAGAAAUGACAAGUUCAAUUACUGUGCACACUAUAUACAGCAAAUUUGCUAAAAGGUUUCACAAUCCCAAAUGUUGGAGAAAGAGAGAACAGAAGUGGUGCAGGGCUUGAUGUUCACGAGGAAGGAGGACAGAAGCCAGAAGCAAAAACUUAUAGUAAGAGUGGAAGAGGAAUUGACAGAGAUUGACUGUUAUUGAAGAAAAGAUAGAGAAUCCUUGAAAGCAGACAAGUGAGAGGAAAAAUAUAUACAAUAAAAAAUUAAAAAUAUAAGCCUACACAACAAAACUGCAAAAUACCAUCCAUACACCAGUCAACAAAAUCAUGCAUGAAAACUACCUGGUCCCCAAAAUAGUAGAAAUGCUAGAGAAGAGAUUUAAAAAAUAUUUAAAAACAAAACAAGCCAAAACAACAACAACAACAACAACAACAACCAUCACCAAACCCUAAAACCAAAACCAAAAACCUCAAUGGAAAACUGAACAAUUGUUUGCUUCAGAGUUCAAAGUUCUCUCAGUCCUGACUGAUUCUUCAUGGGAUCACCAGGCCCAGAUGAGCCCAUACAGACUCUGUCGCUAUCCCACAGAUCUGGAUUUCAGAUGUUCCAGUCUUGGCUACAUUGCAUUCCCAAAAUCUCAAUGCUGUUCCAAUUUGCAGAGAGAUCACCAAGGGAUGUGCUCACAUAGAAGAGCCACCCUGAAAAGAAGCUGCAAGAUGGCAGUCACCAGCACUCCCAACAGGAAGACUCUAGGUGCAGCCAACCCUGCAGGCACUCUGACCCAGGACCUCCAGGUCCCAAAACUAUGUCCCCAAACAGAGGCGGCUGUUCCCCAGAUGGCAGUGGUGGCAAAGCGGCUGGCACUCUGACCCCCUGACCUCCAGGCGCUGGCUGGAGUCCCAAGAUGGAGGUGGCCGCGUGAAACCAAACCUGCGGGAAUACGGCUGUGGACCUCUGGGCAGCGGAGCGGGUCAGUGGCGGCGAUCUUCGGCAGCAGCACUGGUUGGUGGUAAUGGCGCCCGGAAAAAAGACCUCCCUGUGACAGUAGGAGAGGUGUAGGAAGCAGUGUAGGCAGAGAGAAGACCUCUGGGCUAUGAUGGUGACCUCACAGAGAAAAGACCAAGUCUGGGACAGCAGUGUGGGGAGCAGAGGCGUUGGGGUGGCGAUGUAGGCUGCAGCUGCGUGCCGUGCUGGGAGAAAAGACCUUCCUGCCAUGGCGGCAGAGACAGUACGUCCUCGAGUGCGGCAGCGGUCUGUUGGCAGCGCUCCUGCCUGGUUCCUCUUCUGCUGUGCAUCAGCUGUGGCCUUGUAGUUCCUCAGGUGAGUCUGUCCCUAGUGCUUUGUACAUGCUAUUC
rnacentral:lncRNA from 1 species